CUAAUAACUAAAUUAAAGUGUAUUUUGAGUUCAAUUGACUUUUUGUGAACGAAUUACGACGAUUCGUCUUUUCGGCCUGAUUUUUAGCUGCACAAAAAACUGUUUCCGAUCAGAUUUUUUUCGAUGUCAUAAUAAUCGUAUCGAAAUUCUGGUUCGUUUCAUAUAAUUGUUUUUAGAUAUCUUGAUUUCGGAGCACUCCCUCCAAUCCAUUCGGUUACUCAUAAUUGUACCGAAAAUCAAGUUAAACCCCUAAUCUUUUGAAUAUUUCAAUUACACUUCCAAAUAAAACUACACUUAAAACCAUAUGAAAUUAUCUUCAUUCCACCAUUGAAAAUUGACAAAAAAAAAAAAGAAAUUUCUUUUUUCGACCAAAGUCGGGAAAAAUGAAGAAAUUACGCUUACGUCCUAUUGUUCGAUUUGAUCGCUAGUACUUUUGUUUCAACAUUAAACAACCAAAAGGUUGUUCUAAUAACUAAAUUAAAGUGUAUUUUGAGUUCAAUUGACUUUUUGUGAACGAAUUACGACGAUUCGUCUUUUCUGCCUGAUUUUUAGCUGCACAAAAAACUGUUUCCGAUCAGAUUUUUUUCGAUGUCAUAAUAAUCGUAUCGAAAUUCUGGUUCGUUUCAUAUAAUUGUUUUUAGAUAUCUUGAUUUCGGAGCACUCCCUCCAAUCCAUUCGGUUACUCAUAAUUGUACCGAAAAUCAAGUUAAUCCCCUAAUCUUUUGAAUAUUUCAAUUACACUUCCAAAUAAAACUACACUUAAAACCAUAUGAAAUUAUCUUCAUUCCACCAUUGAAAAUUGACAAAAAAAAAAAGAAAUUUCUUUUUUCGACCAAAGUCGGGAAAAAUGAAGAAAUUACGCUUACGUCCUAUUGUUCGAUUUGAUCGCUAGUACUUUUGUUUCAACAUUAAACAACCAAAAGGUUGUUCUAAUAACUAAAUUAAAGUGUAUUUUGAGUUCAAUUGACUUUUUGUGAACGAAUUACGACGAUUCGUGUUUUCGGCCUGAUUUUUAGCUGCACAAAAAACUGUUUCCGAUCAGAUUUUUUUCGAUGUCAUAAUAAUCGUAUCGAAAUUCUGGUUCGUUUCAUAUAAUUGUUUUUAGAUAUCUUGAUUUCGGAGCACUCCCUCCAAUCCAUUCGGUUACUCAUAAUUGUACCGAAAAUCAAGUUAAACCCCUAAUCUUUUGAAUAUUUCAAUUACACUUCCAAAUAAAACUACACUUAAAAGCAUAUGAAAUUAUCUUCAUUCCACCAUUGAAAAUUGACAAAAAAAAAAAAGAAAUUUCUUUUUUCGACCAAAGUCGGGAAAAAUGAAGAAAUUACGCUUACGUCCUAUUGUUCGAUUUGAUCGCUAGUACUUUUGUUUCAACAUUAAACAACCAAAAGGUUGUUCUAAUAACUAAAUUAAAGUGUAUUUUGAGUUCAAUUGACUUUUUGUGAACGAAUUACGACGAUUCGUCUUUUCGGCCUGAUUUUUAGCUGCACAAAAAACUGUUUCCGAUCAGAUUUUUUUCGAUGUCAUAAUAAUCGUAUCGAAAUUCUGGUUCGUUUCAUAUAAUUGUUUUUAGAUAUCUUGAUUUCGGAGCACUCCCUCCAAUCCAUUCGGUUACUCAUAAUUGUACCGAAAAUCAAGUUAAUCCCCUAAUCUUUUGAAUAUUUCAAUUACACUUCCAAAUAAAACUACACUUAAAAGCAUAUGAAAUUAUCUUCAUUCCACCAUUGAAAAUUGACAAAAAAAAAAAGAAAUUUCUUUUUUCGACCAAAGUCGGGAAAAAUGAAGAAAUUACGCUUACGUCCUAUUGUUCGAUUUGAUCGCUAGUACUUUUGUUUCAACAUUAAAGAACCAAAAGGUUGUUCUAAUAACUAAAUUAAAGUGUAUUUUGAGUUCAAUUGACUUUUUGUGAACGAAUUACGACGAUUCGUGUUUUCGGCCUGAUUUUUAGCUGCACAAAAAACUGUUUCCGAUCAGAUUUUUUUCGAUGUCAUAAUAAUCGUAUCGAAAUUCUGGUUCGUUUCAUAUAAUUGUUUUUAGAUAUCUUGAUUUCGGAGCACUCCCUCCAAUCCAUUCGGUUACUCAUAAUUGUACCGAAAAUCAAGUUAAACCCCUAAUCUUUUGAAUAUUUCAAUUACACUUCCAAAUAAAACUACACUUAAAAGCAUAUGAAAUUAUCUUCAUUCCACCAUUGAAAAUUGACAAAAAAAAAAGAAAUUUCUUUUUUCGACCAAAGUCGGGAAAAAUGAAGAAAUUACGCUUACGUCCUAUUGUUCGAUUUGAUCGCUAGUACUUUUGUUUCAACAUUAAACAACCAAAAGGUUGUUCUAAUAACUAAAUUAAAGUGUAUUUUGUGUUCAAUUGACUUUUUGUGAACGAAUUACGACGAUUCGACUUUUCUGCCUGAUUUUUAGCUGCACAAAAAACUGUUUCCGAUCAGAUUUUUUUCGAUGUCAUAAUAAUCGUAUCGAAAUUCUGGUUCGUUUCAUAUAAUUGUUUUUAGAUAUCUUGAUUUCGGAGCACUCCCUCCAAUCCAUUCGGUUACUCAUAAUUGUACCGAAAAUCAAGUUAAUCCCCUAAUCUUUUGAAUAUUUCAAUUACACUUCCAAACAAAACUACACUUAAAAACCAUAUGAAAUUAUCUUCAUUCCACCAUUGAAAAUUGACAAAAAAAAAAAAGAAAUUUCUUUUUUCGACCAAAGUCGGGAAAAAUGAAGAAAUUACGCUUACGUCCUAUUGUUCGAUUUGAUCGCUAGUACUUUUGUUUUAACAUUAAACAACCAAAAGGUUGUUCUAAUAACUAAAUUAAAGUGUAUUUUGAGUUCAAUUGACUUUUUGUGAACGAAUUACGACGAUUCGUGUUUUCGGCCUGAUUUUUAGCUGCACAAAAAACUGUUUCCGAUCAGAUUUUUUUCGAUGUCAUAAUAAUCGUAUCGAAAUUCUGGUUCGUUUCAUAUAAUUGUUUUUAGAUAUCUUGAUUUCGGAGCACUCCCUCCAAUCCAUUCGGUUACUCAUAAUUGUACCGAAAAUCAAGUUAAACCCCUAAUCUUUUGAAUAUUUCAAUUACACUUCCAAAUAAAACUACACUUAAAACCAUAUGAAAUUAUCUUCAUUCCACCAUUGAAAAUUGACAAAAAAAAAAAGAAAUUUCUUUUUUCGACCAAAGUCGGGAAAAAUGAAGAAAUUACGCUUACGUCCUAUUGUUCGAUUUGAUCGCUAGUACUUUUGUUUCAACAUUAAAGAACCAAAAGGUUGUUCUAAUAACUAAAUUAAAGUGUAUUUUUAGUUCAAUUGACUUUUUGUGAACGAAUUACGACGAUUCGUGUUUUCGGCCUGAUUUUUAGCUGCACAAAAAACUGUUUCCGAUCAGAUUUUUUUCGAUGUCAUAAUAAUCGUAUCGAAAUUCUGGUUCGUUUCAUAUAAUUGUUUUUCGAUAUCUUGAUUUCGGAGCACUCCCUCCAAUCCAUUCGGUUACUCAUAAUUGUACCGAAAAUCAAGUUAAACCCCUAAUCUUUUGAAUAUUUCAAUUACACUUCCAAAUAAAACUACACUUAAAAGCAUAUGAAAUUAUCUUCAUUCCACCAUUGAAAAUUGACAAAAAGAAAAGAAAUUUCUUUUUUCGACCAAAGUCGGGAAAAAUGAAGAAAUUACGCUUACGUCCUAUUGUUCGAUUUGAUAGCUAGUACUUUUGUUUCAACAUUAAAGAACCAAAAGGUUGUUCUAAUAACUAAAUUAAAGUGUAUUUUGAGUUCAAUUGACUUUUUGUGAACGAAUUACGACGAUUCGUCUUUUCGGCCUGAUUUUUAGCUGCACAAAAAACUAUUUCCGAUCAGAUUUUUUUCGAUGUCAUAAUAAUCGUAUCGAAAUUCUGGUUCGUUUCAUAUAAUUGUUUUUAGAUAUCUUGAUUUCGGAGCACUCCCUCCAAUCCAUUCGGUUACUCAUAAUUGUACCGAAAAUCAAGUUAAUCCCCUAAUCUUUUGAAUAUUUCAAUUACACUUCCAAAUAAAACUACACUUAAAAGCAUAUGAAAUUAUCUUCAUUCCACCAUUGAAAAUUGACAAAAAAAAAAAAAAAGAAA